rnacentral:rRNA from 1 species
AACGAACGCUGGCGGCAUGCCUAACACAUGCAAGUCGAACGAGACCUUCGGGUCUAGUGGCGCACGGGUGCGUAACGCGUGGGAACCUGCCCUUAGGUUCGGAAUAACUCCCCGAAAGGGGUGCUAAUACCGGCUAAUGUCUUCGGACCAAAGAUUUAUCGCCUUUGGAUGGGCCCGCGUUGGAUUAGCUAGUUGGUAGGGUAAAAGCCUACCAAGGCGACGAUCCAUAGCUGGUCUGAGAGGAUGAUCAGCCGCACUGGGACUGAGACACGGCCCAGACUCCUACGGGAGGCAGCAGUGGGGAAUAUUGGACAAUGGGCGAAAGCCUGAUCCAGCAAUGCCGCGUGAGUGAUGAAGGCCUUAGGGUUGUAAAGCUCUUUUACCCGGGAUGAUAAUGACAGUACCGGGAGAAUAAGCUCCGGCUAACUCCGUG